UACGUAGGUGACAAGCGUUGUUCGGAUUUACUGGGCGUAAAGGGCGCGUAGGCGGCCUAGCAAGUCACUUGUGAAAUCUCCGGGCUUAACUCGGAACUGCCAAGUGAAACUGCUGGGCUAGAGUGCAGAAGGGGCAAUCGGAAUUCUUGGUGUAGCGGUGAAAUGCGUAGAUAUCAAGAGGAACACCUGAGGUGAAGACGGGUUGCUGGGCUGACACUGACGCUGAGGCGCGAAAGCCAGGGGAGCAAACGGG
rnacentral:rRNA from 1 species